GUCAUUGCUGUCAAUUAUCCGUUAAAAUCUCAUGAGUUAAAUUGCUGAGGUGGCAUUCCUUACACGCCGAAAUGUCUAUUAUACCUUUACGAACUCUUUUUUAUUUAAAUAAUUUUUUUUUCACUCUUUUUUUUUUUCCUCCCCUUUUUACCUUCAUCUUCCAUCUCUCUCCUCCUCUGUUUAUCUCCAUCUUCUUCUUCCAAAAACAAACCCAGCCUUGGAACCACAUGAACUCUACUCCCAUACUGCUUCACAACACCACGACCUUCCAUAAUUGUCAGUGGCGUAAUGACACAAGCCAAAUUGGGUGUGACGGCGGCGCUAGGGUAAGAGUUGUCGUGGUCUACCGGCGAGAAAACCUGGGAGAAGACGUCAAGGCGGUCAAGUCUCCCGGCCUAUAUGAAGUCGAUCUGAUCUGGGUUCUAGGUCGGCGUUGGGGAACAUGUUGAAGUCGAAGAUCUGGGUUUUACAGUCUUUCUUGGUGUUUGGUAAAUUUUGGGGCUUUGGGUUCUGGGGUUUAUAUUUUCGGUCGUCGCUGCAUUUGAGGUGCUCUGUGAUUGUUGGAGGUAUGGAUAAGCUGAAGCAAGCUCAGAGCCUCAGAGCUUGAUGAGUAGGCCCAUGUGGUGAUUGCAACGCCCGGUAUGGUGAGGGAUUUGCUUCAGGAGGACCCGGAUUUUCCAUCUAGGACAUCACUACACAAAGCUCACUAGUUUCAACAAGGGCUGACUAUUAAGAAGGUAAAGAUUUCGUAUCCGGUUUUAUGGGAUCUUCAUUCUUGUCCUACUUUCCUCAAUCUUUUGGGCAAAAUCUAAUCUUAAGUUGUUCUCAACUAACUAAUCAUCUCAGUUAUUGUCCCACCCAUCUUUGUUCAAAGACCUUGCAGUAAGACCAUUAGCAGAGAUGCUUCCCACCAGAUGCCCUCCGGGUGACUUCCCUGCAUUAUCUCCAUCACAAUUGUCAACCCAACCCUGAUCCCAACCUUUAGCCAUAACAACAUCAGUUGCUGAAGCCGAUUCCGCAAUGCCAUUUCAAGUUCCUGAUAUGGAACUCCACCUCUAGUGCGCUGUUUCCUCAUCCUAACCAGGCAGCAAACCCACAUCCCUCCAAAAAUUAGCACUGUAACAAUCAAGAAGUAGGCACCGUUCUGUACAUUGUGAGUUUUGCAUAGAGGGAUUGUAGUUUUUGAAGUUCAGUUUAUGCAUUGAACUUUCAGCUU